rnacentral:lncRNA from 1 species
ACUCGCAGCACGCACUGAAGAAGACGCUACGGAAGUCUCCGUUUUCCAGACUCGGGGGAAUUAGGAAACGCGCCCGGCGACCCUCGGGCAGUAGCACCGGGCCAGGUUUGCUUUCGGAACCGCUGACGCCACUCGCCGCCUUUCCCGCCUGGGCCUCUCGCGGGUCGCAGGGGUGGAAGCCCGACCUGGGCCAGGGCCCGGAUUUCUUCCUCCCGGCCUCUGCGCCGCCGCCCCCGGUGCCAGGACGCGCUUUGCUCUCGCCGAGACCCAGACGCGCCGAAAGCCUCGCGCGGGCAGUUCCCCGCCCCACGCCCCGGGCUGCGCGUUCUCCCGCGAAGCCUCUGCCGAGUGCGCGCGACGGCGCCGCCGGACUCCCCCGGACCGCGCUCCCGCGCACGCCUGACCGGAGCACCCCGCUUCACGGGGGCGUUCUGCGCGUCCUUCCUCCCCGGUGCGAUUUCCGUUCUUUUUCCUCUCGCGGUCCCCAGGAGCCCAGGCACCCCUCGACGCCGCUGCCGGCGGAACCGGGAACCCUCCCCGGGGCUCCCUGCGGGCCCGAAGCCGCCUUCCCGAGGCGGCGGAGUUGGGCAGCUCCGGGCCCCGCGCCGCCCCGCGCCGCCCCGCGGAGCCGGAGUUUCUCUCCGGAGUCUGGACACAGCUCUCCGCUUCGUCGCCGCGCACUGGACCCCGGUAGCGUGGAGCCUGCCCGGGAAGCUGGGCUGCGCCGGCCUGGGGCGAAGGUCCAAGGGGCGCGGGGGCCGGGACGCGGGGCUGUGGCGACGACCGGCCCUCUGCGAACGCUCAGGCCGGCGGGUCCGGGGCCACAGGCUGGGAGUGGAGCUGGCGGCCACUGGGGAGUAGAGAGGACGCCCAGGAACAGGUGCACCAGGGUCCCGGCGGCUGGGCCGAGGGUCGCAAGCAGAGGGGACCGGCGGCUGCCAGCAAGUCCCAAGCAGAUGCCUCCGGCGGGGCAGCCGCAUUUUACAGCGCCCAUUCCGCGUACAUCGAGUAUCCAAAACGAGUAAAAUCGGUUUAUACGUUGGAAUGUAGCUUAUGAUUCCAAAAUCUCAUCUCCAGGCUGCCUAGAUCACACGGCCCCGUUUCAUUCAUUUUUACUGAAUAACGGUCGUUGGACAAUUUAGAGAAGCAGCAGAAACCACGAGAAAAACAGUGGAGUCAAACGGCGGCGCUGUUGUAGGAGCAAGGUAUACAAUGAUGAUCAAGGCAGAUGCAGCCCUUACCUUCAGGUCGUGGAGUCCGGAUACAGACUGGAGGCAGAGGCAGCUGUAAGAUGUGUGACAAAUGCUGCGCUGGAUCAGCCCAUGGUAUUAGGAGAGCAGCUGAGUGCCACGUGCUGACAUCACUAAGAUCAAUACAGCAAACUCUGAAAGAUGGACGGAGAGACAGGAGAUGGUCCUUUAUAAUGCAGUGUGAUCUGUGCUGCAAUAGAGAUGGAAGAGUGUUCUGAUCGGCUGGAAAACAACGCACAUGGGAAGCUGUACAGAAAUGAGUGGGGAAAGUUUUGGAAGCUAGAAGUUCAAAACGAGGUGUUGGCAGCACCAUGCUCUCUCUGAAGAUGCUAGGAAGAAUCUGCUCCAUGCCUUUCCAUUCGCUUCUGGGGUUUCCUGCAAGCCCUGACAUUCCUUGGCUUGUAGAU